CAGUAGCCGCGGUAAUACGUAGGGGGCAAGCGUUGUCCGGAAUUAUUGGGCGUAAAGCGCGCGCAGGCGGUCAUGUAAGUCUGGUGUUUAAUCCCGGGGCUCAACCCCGGAUCGCACUGGAAACUGGGUGACUUGAGUGCAGAAGAGGAGAGUGGAAUUCCACGUGUAGCGGUGAAAUGCGUAGAGAUGUGGAGGAACACCAGUGGCGAAGGCGACUCUCUGGGCUGUAACUGACGCUGAGGCGCGAAAGCGUGGGGAGCAAACAGGAUUAGAUACCCCAGUAGUCCCUGUCUCUUAUACA
rnacentral:rRNA from 1 species